rnacentral:lncRNA from 10 species
CUUCUUUUCAGCUGCCAAGCUUUUUGUGUUUGCACUUUUCCUUAACGCUUCUUCCAGAUUAGGUUCUCCUUAAAUUCUGUUUGCGGCUGGAAGUGAUCCUAGACACCUCUGGCUCAGCUUCCCAACUCAUGCAGGAGAGGAACCUGAAGCUUAGAUAGAUUAUGGAACUCGCUCGAGAUCAUACAAGAAGUGGCAAUGCUGGGAUUUGAGCCCACGAUUGACAAAGCUUUUAUUCUUUGCAUUCUACCAUGCUGCCUCCAAAUAGGUCAAAUGACUAGAAAAAGAGAUUUAGGUUCAUAAUUGUCACUAUGCAUUUUUCCUACUAUGGGAACAAUUAUGAACAAUUCCAUAUGUGUCCAAUUUUAUAACAAUAAAG